UGGAAGAACUUGGAGGUUGAUUGUCUGGCAGGGGAUCAAGGAGUGGGAAUUGUAUAGAACACAUGCCAAGCAUCAACCAUGUCUUGGAAGAUGGAAGAGAAUAAGAGCUGGACCCUGCCCUCAAGGAAACUAUGAUCAGGUCCCAAGGCUAAUGGAAGCAAUUUGUAUACCAACCCAAACUGACUGGCCCACUUUUCAAAAUACAGGUAUGAUAAUCUUGUGGUUUUAAAAGGACAUUUAAAUUGAAAGACUGUGAAUUUAGUACAUAAUUAUACCAAUAGAACCCUUUAACUUGUCAACUUGUAAA